UACGUAGGGAGCGAGCGUUGUCCGGAUUUAUUGGGCGUAAAGAGCUCGUAGGCGGUUUGGCAAGUCGGAUGUGAAAGCUCCGGGCUCAACCCGGAGACGCCAUUCGAUACUGCCAUGACUAGAGUCCGGUAGGGGGGUGUGGAAUUCCCAGUGUAGCGGUGAAAUGCGCAGAUAUUGGGAGGAACACCAAUGCGAAGGCAGCACCCUGGGCCGGUACUGACGCUGAGGAGCGAAAGCGUGGGGGAGCAAACAGG
rnacentral:rRNA from 1 species